UAGGGAAUAUUGGGCAAUGGGUGCAAGCCUGACCCAGCCAUGCCGCGUGCCGGAAGACGGCCCUAUGGGUUGUAAACGGCUUUUAUACAGGAACAAAAACAGGGAUGCGUCCUUGACUGAGGGUACUGUAUGAAUCAGCACCGGCUAACUCCGUGCCAGCAGCCGCGGUAAUACAGAGGGGGCAAGCGUUGUCCGGACUUACUGGGCGUAAAGCGCACGCAGGUGGUAACGCAAGUGGGGUGUGAAAGCCGCCAGCUCAACUGGCGGAGGCCAUCCCAAACUGCGUCACUUGAGGCCUGUAGAGGUAUGUGGAAUUGCCGGUGUAGUGGUGAAAUGCGUAGAGAUCGGCAGGAACACCCAGGGGGAAGCCAGCAUACUGGACAGGUCCUGACACUCAGGUGCGACAGCGUGGGGAGCGAACCGGAUUAGAUACCCGUGUAGUCC
rnacentral:rRNA from 1 species